GUCUACGGCCAUGCCACCCUGAACAAGCCUGAUCCUGUUUGAUCUUGGAAGCUGAGCAGGGUUGGGCUGGGUUAGUACUUGGAUGGGAGACCACCUAGGAAGACCAGGUGCUGUAGGCA
rnacentral:rRNA from 1 species